GAGAAGUUCAGGGAUGUCAUAACCCAGCAUGUCAUCGACGGAUUGUAUCAACUUGGGCUUCAACUUCUCAAACUUAUCAAUGUUAUAACCACUCAGAACUUCCCUGAAGUGUUCGAUGUUAGGAAAAUCCCCAGCUGGUAGAUGGUGUUCCUUUUGAACCUUCAUAAAUUGAUCUUCCAAGUUAUCGAUAAGUUUUUGCUGGGUCUUGGCUUUGCCUAUCAUCGCAGGCAUCUCCUUUUUCAGGUGACUGAUAAUGUAAGAAUGUAUCUUGGCAGCUCUAGCACGUUUUACGAAUUCAUUUAUACGACGAUCACAAGCCUUCUUUGGUAUGUUUUUCAAGUCUGUAAGGAGAUCAUCUUGUUCCUUCUCAAAAAGUUCUUUUCCAAUUGGCCCUAUAGCAGCAUCAUUUAUUGGUUUGUCAUUAAAUGAUCCUAUGUAGACACGUGCAACUUCAGGGGUAUUUAGAACCUUCCCUAGAGACCACAUCAAUGCUCCAUAAACCCUCAUAAGUUGUUGAGUAUCAAUUUGGUCAGCUUUGUUCAGAACCACACGUAUCUUAUCAUCAUGGCCUCGAAGAGAAGCAAUGACACGUUUGAAUUCAUCACUUAUAUCAAGCUUGUGAGGAUCAAACAAUAGAAGGAUGAGAUCGCACUUGGCAGCAAACCAGGAAGUCACACCAGUAAAGUCAUAGCUCCUUUGUGUUCUCUGCUUUUCCCCAGAUAAAACUCCAGGCGUGUCCACCAGUGUAAAAUGCUCCAACAAAGGAUGCGCCAUUUGAGAACACUCAAACUUUGACAAAAACGCAGUUCCAAAAGUUGUCAGACCGCUAAAUGGCAUAUCUGCUUGAACAGCAAUUGUGUUUCCUGGAAUACUUCUUUCAUCAGGCCCAUUCAUGACAACUACAAAUCUGUCUGUUGUAGGCUCU
rnacentral:misc_RNA from 1 species